UACUGCAUUCAGGCAGGAACUCUGGCUGGACCUAACUUACCACCUAUCAGACGACCUCCAUACAUGACCAGGCCAGCCUCACAAAUUGAGAAUGAAUAUAACUUGUUUAUAUUUGACCCAGAAACACAGACAUGGAGAAAGAAUAACAAAGCCUACAACAAUGAGGUCGUGGCUGGUCUUACACCAGGAAUAAUUGCAGUGAUAACAGUGUGUGCUGCCGUGGCUAGUGCGGCUGUAGUGGCUGUCAUUAUCCUGGG
rnacentral:sRNA from 1 species